UGUAAAGAUCAUUGCUCAGUAUGAUACAUUAAUGGUUGAUUAUGAAUUACUUAUACAGAUAGAUAUAUACAUAUUCUAAAGAUGGCUUUCUGUUUUGUUUACAGUUGAUGCCUUCCUUGACAUUUCUUGUGUUGUUGAAACAUCUUCUAUUCUCAAAGUCCUGCCAGACUUCUCUCUUGCUUUCCAUCUGUUUUUCUGUGCCCUCUUAAACUUUAUCCCCUGCCCCCUUUCUCUUUUCUGCCUUUUCUAUCGGUCACAGAC